GCGGAUCCCCAUUAACAGUAAAGGGUCAAUGAGCACUCAACCAUCAAACAGUGAAACCGAAGCCACCUCAAUAAUGGAGUCACACAGCCCCGAUAACUCCUCCUUCCAUCUCAGAGUUGAAAAACUAAACGGAAGGAACUAUCGAAAGUGGGUUCAGUCAAUAAAGCUAAUCAUCGACGGAAAAGGUAGGAUUGGUUACAUUACUGGUGAAACGAAGAAACCUAUAGAUCCUGUCCUCUCGAAGAAGUGGAGUUCAGAAAAUUCAAUGGUAACAUCUUAGCUCAUAAAAAACCUAUCUAUUUCUGCCUACAGCAAAAGACAUAUGGGACGCCGUGAAGGAGAUGUACUCAGACUCAGAAAACUGCUCUAAGAUAUUUGAAAUUAAGACCCGUUUGUGGCUAGCAAAACAAGGAGAUAGGGAAGUGACAGAGUACUAAAUGGAGAUGUCCUCUCUCUUGCAGGAACUUGAUUUGAAUUUCAAAGAAGCAAAUUUGAAUUUCGAAGAAGCAUGGGAGUGCCCGGGCGACAUCGUGAGAUUUAAAAAAGGGUUUGAAAAUGAAAGAGUCCAUGAGUUCUUAGUCGGUCUUAACCACGACUCAGAAGGCGAAGUGUUUUAUGAAGUGAGAAGAGAUGAGAGCAGGAGGAAGACGAUGUUGACGGAGAUCGGACCUCUGGAGUGGAUAUGUCGGCGCUGUUGUCUAAAGGGUAUGGGAUUGCUGUAAUGGGCUUUAAAAAUGGAGUUGGGCCUCAAGAUAUACCAUCUUCUAAAACUAGAGUUGGGCUAUUUAAAGCUUCAAAAAUUGAUGGGCCUGCUAUGAUUUCAGCACUCAUAUCUAAAAGGUCAUCUAAUGGGUCAAGCCCAAAGCACUAAAACAAACGUUCUUGGUGCGAGCAUUGUCGAAAGUCGGGACACGAAGAAGACACAUGUUAGGUAUUACAUGGGAAACCAAGGGAUUGGAAACCAAAACCAAAAUUUAGAAGCUGUGGCUACCAAGUCUCCAGUUACCCGACCGAGUGAUCCAAGGAAAUAAAAUCUUCAAGGGGCGCAUUUAAUCCUAAACAAAUGGAGCAACUAUGCCAGAUUUUCUCUAGUCUCCAAACGUCUAGUUACUUGACCAUAAAUAGCCCAUCGAGUUCUCGAGCCCACAAAGUUAAUUCUUAAGAGCUCUAAAUUCAACCUCAAAAUAUAAAACUCUCUAGAUUAUUGACUCAGGGGCACCCGAUCACGUGACGAACUCUUAUCAUCUCUUAUCCCCAUACUCAACCUGCACCGGUAAUACUAAAGUUAAAAUUACAGAUGGCUCACUUUAACCUGUUGUAUGAAAAGAGAGUAUUCAAAUCUCCAAAUUCACAAGUCUUCAAUCCGUUCAUGUUCCAAAUUUAUCUUGCAAUCUAUUAUCUAUUAGUCAAUUGACUAACAUUUAAAUUGCUUUGCUAAAUUUCUCCCAUCUUGUUGUGUUUUUUCAGGGCCUAUCACCAGGGAAGACGAUUGGUAGUUCUAAAGAGUGUGAAUGACUCUACUACUUUGAAGAAGCAGAUGUAAGUAAACAAUGU
rnacentral:lncRNA from 1 species